UACGAAGGGGGCUAGCGUUGCUCGGAAUCACUGGGCGUAAAGGGUGCGUAGGCGGGUCUUUUAAGUCAGGGGUGAAAUCCUGGAGCUCAACUCCAGAACUGCCUUUGAUACUGAGGAUCUUGAGUUCGGGAGAGGUGAGUGGAACUGCGAGUGUAGAGGUGAAAUUCGUAGAUAUUCGCAAGAACACCAGUGGCGAAAGCGGCGCACUGGACCCUUUCUGACGCUGAGGCGCGAAAGCCAGGGGAGCAAACGGG
rnacentral:rRNA from 1 species